rnacentral:rRNA from 1 species
UACGAAGGGGGCUAGCGUUGCUCGGAAUCACUGGGCGUAAAGGGCGCGUAGGCGGACUCUUAAGUCGGGGGUGAAAGCCCAGGGCUCAACCCUGGAACUGCCUUCGAUACUGAGAGUCUUGAGUUCGGAAGAGGUUGGUGGAACUGCGAGUGUAGAGGUGAAAUUCGUAGAUAUUCGCAAGAACACCAGUGGCGAAGGCGGCCAACUGGUCCGAUACUGACGCUGAGGCGCGAAAGCGUGGGGAGCAAACAGG